rnacentral:rRNA from 1 species
UACAGAGACCUCAAGCGUUAUCCGGAAUCAUUGGGCGUAAAGCGUGCCUAUAGGUGGUUUAGAAAGUCAGAAGUGAAAUCUCUCAGCUUAACUGGGAGACUGUCUUUUGAAACUUCUAAACUAGAGGGGCAAAGAGGAAGCUGGAACGAACGGUGUAGUAGUGAAAUGCGUUGAUAUCGUUCGGAACACCAAUAGCGUAGGCAGGCUUCUGGGUGCAAACUGACACUGCUAGGACGAAAGCGUGGGGAGCGAAUGGG